rnacentral:rRNA from 1 species
UACGUACGGGGCAAGCGUUGUUCGGAAUCAUUGGGCGUAAAGGGCGCGUAGGUGGUUCUGUAUGUCUACCGUGAAAGCAUACAGCUCAACUGUAUUUUGUCGGUAGAAACUGCAGGACUUGAGGCUGGGAGGGGCUGGUGGAAUUCCCUGUGUAGCGGUGAAAUGCGUAGAGAUGGGGGAGAACACUCGUGGCGAAGGCGGCCAGCUAGACCAGUUCUGACACUGAGGCGCGACAGCGUGGGGAGCAAACAGG